rnacentral:misc_RNA from 1 species
ACCUACUGUUUAAUUUUGAGGGUUCGUUUUUACGAAUACUCAAAAUUAGCACUUUAAGCAACGGGAUUUAUCCGUUGGCGCCGUGCUUCAGCACUUUUAGAAACAGAAUAAACUGAACGCAUGUGAAGUUUGUUUGUUGGCGCUGUGCGUUAGCACUUUAAGUAACGGAAUAAUCUGAGUGAAUACGAAGGUUGUUCGUUGACGUGGUGCGUUAGCACUUUAAGCAACGGAAUUUAUUCGUUAGCGCCGUGCUUUAGCACUUUGAAAACUGCAUAUAUAUUUAGUGAUAUGACAUCUAAUUUGUAAUAUAUAAAGCUGAUAACUUUUAAAAAUUAUCAAGUUGAUAGACUUUAAUCUAUCAAACCUUUUUAACUGGUCAA